rnacentral:rRNA from 1 species
AUUGAACGCUGGCGGCAGGCCUAACACAUGCAAGUCGAGCGGAUGAAGGGAGCUUGCUCCCGGAUUCAGCGGCGGACGGGUGAGUAAUGCCUAGGAAUCUGCCUGGUAGUGGGGGAUAGCGUCCGGAAACGGGCGCUAAUACCGCAUACGUCCUGAGGGAGAAAGUGGGGGAUCUUCGGACCUCACGCUAUCAGAUGAGCCUAGGUCGGAUUAGCUAGUUGGUGGGGUAAAGGCCUACCAAGGCGACGAUCCGUAACUGGUCUGAGAGGAUGAUCAGUCACACUGGAACUGAGACACGGUCCAGACUCCUACGGGAGGCAGCAGUGGGGAAUAUUGGACAAUGGGCGAAAGCCUGAUCCAGCCAUGCCGCGUGUGUGAAGAAGGUCUUCGGAUUGUAAAGCACUUUAAGUUGGGAGGAAGGGCAGUAAGUUAAUACCUUGCUGUUUUGACGUUACCAACAGAAUAAGCACCGGCUAACUUCGUG